GUGAAGUAACAGUAAAGCAGCUACUGACUAUCAAGUUGAAAAAUGCAGAUGCAGUUCUAAAUUGUUCAACAUGGUGUAUGUGGGACACAUAGUGGAUAGGAAGCAUGUCAUGGUGUAUGUGGGACACAUAGUGGAUAGGAAGCAUGUCACGGUGUAUGUGGGACACAUAGUGGAUAGGAAGCAUGUCAUGGUGUAUGUGGGACACAUAGUGGAUAGGAAGUAUGUCACGGUGUAUGUGGGACACAUAGUGGAUGGGAAGCAUGUCACGGUGAAUGUGGGAAACAUAGCGGAUAGGAAGCAUGUCACGGUGUAUGUGGGACACAUAGCGGAUAGGAAGCAUGUCACGGUGUAUGUGGGACACAUAGUGGAUAGGAAGCAUGUGACAAUGUGAAGUAACAGUAACACAGAAUGGCUGGAGACCAUUAACUUCAGAACUGAAGAGAUGCAGGUCUUUGUUCUAAAUGGUAAAUGAUGGAACCAUGGCAAAGUUUUGGAUAUAUAAGGUGUGAAGUUACAGAAAAGCAAAAUAGCUACAGACCAUGAACUUAAGAAAUGAAGAGAUGCAUGUCAUUAUUCAGCAUGGUGUAUAUGGAAACAUUGUGGAUUGCAGAAAUGAAAUGAUUUA